AUGGCUGAAAGGUAAAGCGCUUGGCUUCCAAAUCGAGGUUCCCGGGUUCGAAUCCUGGU
rnacentral:tRNA from 1 species